ACAGUGGACGCGAGCAUCUGUGGCCAAGUUUUUAAGGGCGCACGGUGGAUGCCUUGGCACCAGGAACCGAUGAAGGACGUGGGAGGCCACGAUAGUCCCCGGGGAGCCGUCAACCAGGCUUUGAUCCGGGGGUUUCCGAAUGGGGAAACCCGGCAGUCGUCAUGGGCUGUCACCCUUGCCUGAACACAUAGGGCAAGUGGAGGGAACGCGGGGAAGUGAAACAUCUCAGUACCCGCAGGAAGAGAAAACAACCGUGAUUCCGGGAGUAGUGGCGAGCGAAACCGGAUGAGGCCAAACCUCAAGCGUGUGAGACCCGGCAGGGGUUGCGCUUGGGGGGUUGUGGGAUCUCUCUUCUGUCGUCUGCCGGCGACAGGACGAGUCAGAAACCGUUGACGUAGGCGAAGGACAUGCGAAAGGUCCGGCGUAGAGGGUAAGACCCCCGUAGUCGAAACGUCAGCGGCUCGUUUGAGAGACACCCAAGUAGCACGGGGCCCGAGAAAUCCCGUGUGAAUCUGGCGGGACCACCCGCUAAGCCUAAAUAUUCCCUGGUGACCGAUAGCGGAUAGUACCGUGAGGGAAUGGUGAAAAGUACCGCGGGAGCGGAGUGAAAUAGUACCUGAAACCGUGUGCCUACAAGCCGUGGGAGCGUCGGACAUCAAGCUUGCUUGGUGUCUCGUGACUGCGUGCCUUUUGAAGAAUGAGCCUGCGAGUUUGCGGUGUGUUGCGAGGUUAACCCGUGUGGGGAAGCCGUAGCGAAAGCGAGUCCGAACAGGGCGAUUUUAGUAGCACGCUCAAGACCCGAAGCGGAGUGAUCUAGCCAUGGGCAGGUUGAAGCGGCUGUAAGAGGUCGUGGAGGACCGAACCCACCAGGGUUGAAAACCUGGGGGAUGACCUGUGGUUAGGGGUGAAAGGCCAAUCAAACUCCGUGAUAGCUGGUUCUCCCCGAAAUGCAUUUAGGUGCAGCGUCGUGUGUUUCUUGCCGGAGGUAGAGCACUGGAUAGGCGAUGGGCCCUACCGGGUUACUGACCUUAGCCAAACUCCGAAUGCCGGUAAGUGAGAGCGCGGCAGUGAGACUGUGGGGGAUAAGCUCCAUGGUCGAGAGGGAAACAGCCCAGAGCAUCGACUAAGGCCCCUAAGCGUACGCUAAGUGGGAAAGGAUGUGGAGUCGCAGAGACAACCAGGAGGUUGGCUUAGAAGCAGCCACCCUUGAAAGAGUGCGUAAUAGCUCACUGGUCUAGUGAUUCCGCGCCGACAAUGUAGCGGGGCUCAAGCGUACCGCCGAAGUCGUGUCAUUGCAGCAGAUAGCCCCAACGGGUGCUGUGAUGGGUAGGGGAGCGUCGUGUGCCGGGUGAAGCCGCGCCGGAAGGCAGUGGUGGACGGUUCACGAGUGAGAAUGCAGGCAUGAGUAGCGAUACACACGUGAGAAACGUGUGCGCCGAUUGACUAAGGGUUCCUGGGUCAAGCUGAUCUGCCCAGGGUAAGUCGGGACCUAAGGCGAGGCCGACAGGCGUAGUCGAUGGAUAACCGGUUGAUAUUCCGGUACCCGCUGUGAAGCGUCAAACAUCGA
rnacentral:rRNA from 1 species